rnacentral:piRNA from 2 species
GCACGCCUGUAGUCCCAGCUACUC